rnacentral:misc_RNA from 1 species
CGUGGGAAUCCGUACGCUGACUCACUAACCACCCUUAACUUGCCGCUCUCUCACAAAAGGAGAAAACCAAAAACCCCUCACCUACCCUUUCCCUCCUCGACGAUUGCGAACCAAAAUUCCCUCACCAAUCCAAUUGCUUUUCUCUUUUCCACAGUAUAAAUACCAAAUGAAGGGGAAGAGGAAGGCAGCCGCAAGCCCCAAUAUGGCCUUGAACAAUGCCUUCGAGGAUGGCCACAACAUGGUAGAGGUUUUUGUUCAAGGAGGGAAUGCUGCUGAUGAGAAAGAACGAGAUGGGGUUGAUGAUAAUGAGGAGAAUCGGAAGGAAUGUGAAGGAGAGGAUGAGGAUGAGGAUGAGGACGUGGAUGAGAAUGAGAAUGAGGACGAGGAAGAGAAAGAUGAAGAAGAACGGCCUAAGCUUGAUGAGGGUUUCUUCGAAAUCGAAGCUAUUCGACGCAAACGGGUCCGCAAGGUAUUUCUUUUUCCCCCGUACGCGCAUACAUAGUGUUUGUGUGUGUUUAUGCUUUAAUGGCAUCCCCUUCUGUAGAAAUUAUUAUUUACCCAUCUCUUAAAAUUUUCUAUUUCAUUUGUUUUAGAACAGAAAAUGUGAUUAGGAAAAACAAUAAAUGAAAGUUUUUAUUUUAUUUUCAAGGUUUAUUGCAAGUGGAUGGUGGGUGGUUUAAUUUUAUUUUGUAUUAAUUGCUUGGCUGAAUGGCAUUUUCUUUACUUUGAUCGAUAAUGAGGCAAAUCACUUCCCAAAUGCUGCUCAAAAAUAGGGUCAGCUUCAGUAUCUCAUAAAGUGGCGAGGCUGGCCAGAAACGGCCAACACCUGGGAGCCCUUAGAGAAUUUGCAGUCGUGUUCUGAUGUCAUUGAUUUGUUUGAGGAGAGCUUGCGAUCUGGUAAAUCUUCGCGAAAGAGGAAACGCAAAUAUGGAGGUCCUCAUAAUCAGCCCAGGAAGAAGUUGUCACGUUCCUCUGCUGGUUAUAGCAUUACAGGUGUUGAAGUAAACGUAGUUGAUAAAUCCUUGUCCUCUGCUCCUCUGAAUAACUCAAGCCAUGCUGAUCCACCUGCGGGUUCAGGUCAUGAAGGAGAGAAAAUUGAAGUUAGCAAUGUUAAAACAGCGAAGAAAGCUGAUGAGAAUGGGUA